rnacentral:rRNA from 1 species
GACGAACGCUGGCGGCGUGCUUAACACAUGCAAGUCGAACGGUGAAGGGGAGCUUGCUCCCCGGAUCAGUGGCGAACGGGUGAGUAACACGUGGGCAACCUGCCCCAGACUUCGGGAUAACGCUUCGAAAGAGGUGCUAAUACCGGAUACGAACUCCUUGGGCAUCCUGGGAGUUGGAAAGUUUUUCGGUCUGGGAUGGGCCCGCGGCCUAUCAGCUUGUUGGUGAGGUAACGGCUCACCAAGGCGACGACGGGUAGCCGGCCUGAGAGGGCGACCGGCCACACUGGGACUGAGACACGGCCCAGACUCCUACGGGAGGCAGCAGUGGGGAAUAUUGCGCAAUGGGCGGAAGCCUGACGCAGCAACGCCGCGUGAGGGAUGACGGCCUUCGGGUUGUAAACCUCUUUCAGCAGGGAAGAAGCGAAAGUGACGGUACCUGCAGAAGAAGCACCGGCUAACUACGUGCCAGCCGCCGCGGUAA